rfam:Ictidomys tridecemlineatus contig061137, whole genome shotgun sequence.
GGGGUUGUGGCUCAGUGGUAGAGCGCUUGCCUGGCCCAUGUGAGACACAGGGUUCAAUCCUCAGCACCA